rnacentral:rRNA from 1 species
UGGGGAAUAUUGCACAAUGGGCGCAAGCCUGAUGCAGCCAUGCCGCGUGUAUGAAGAAGGCCUUCGGGUUGUAAAGUACUUUCAGCGGGGAGGAAGGUGUUGUGGUUAAUAACCACAGCAAUUGACGUUACCCGCAGAAGAAGCACCGGCUAACUCCGUGCCAGCAGCCGCGGUAAUACGAAGGGUGCAAGCGUUAAUCGGAAUUACUGGGCGUAAAGCGCACGCAGGCGGUCUGUCAAGUCGGAUGUGAAAUCCCCGGGCUCAACCUGGGAACUGCAUCCGAAACUGGCAGGCUUGAGUCUUGUAGAGGGGGGUAGAAUUCCAGGUGUAGCGGUGAAAUGCGUAGAGAUCUGGAGGAAUACCGGUGGCGAAGGCGGCCCCCUGGACAAAGACUGACGCUCAGGUGCGAAAGCGUGGGGAGCAAACA